rnacentral:rRNA from 1 species
UACGUAGGGGGCGAGCGUUGUCCGGAAUUAUUGGGCGUAAAGGGCGUGUAGGCGGCUUCUUAAGUCCGGUGUGAAAGCCCGCGGCUCAACCGUGGAGGGUCACUGGAAACUGGGGGGCUUGAGAGCAGGAGAGGAGAGCGGAAUUCCACGUGUAGCGGUGAAAUGCGUAGAGAUGUGGAGGAACACCAGUGGCGAAGGCGGCUCUCUGGCCUGGCUCUGACGCUGAGGCGCGAAAGCGUGGGGAGCAAACAGG